GAUGAAGAACGCAGCGAAAUGCGAUAAGUAGUGUGAAUUGCAGAAUUCAGUGAAUCAUCGAAUCUUUGAACGCACAUUGCGCCCCUUGGUAUUCCAUGGGGCAUGCCUGUUCGAGCGUCAUUUGUACCUUCAAGCUCUGCUUGGUGUUGGGUGUUUGUCUCGCCUCUGCGUGUAGACUCGCCUUAAAACAAUUGGCAGCCGGCGUAUUGAUUUCGGAGCGCAGUACAUCUCGCGCUUUGCACUCAUAACGACGACGUCCAAAAGUACAAUUUUACACUCUUGACCUCGGAUCAGGUAGGGAUACCCGCUGAACUUAAGCAUAUCAAUAAGCGGAGGA
rnacentral:misc_RNA from 1 species